rnacentral:rRNA from 1 species
UGGGAACCUUCCCUAUGGUUCGGAAUAGCCCAGGGAAACUUGGGGUAAUACCGAAUAAGCCCUUCGGGGAAAGAUUUAUCGCCAUUGGAUGGGCCCGCGUCGGAUUAGCUAGUUGGUGGGGUAACGGCCCACCAAGGCGACGAUCCGUAGCUGGUCUGAGAGGAUGAUCAGCCACACUGGGACUGAGACACGGCCCAGACUCCUACGGGAGGCAG